rnacentral:lncRNA from 1 species
GGUGAAUGGAGUGUUUCUGCGCCUCUUUCUGUCAAAAGAUUCCCUCUUUGGGUCGUCCAAAUCCUUAUAUAGUUCAUAAAAAUUAGUAGAAAACAGGCCCAAGCCCACGUCGUUGGCGCUCAAUGCCCCAAAAGGGCACCCAGUGGUAUGUGCGACACUUAAAUGGCGCUCAACAGUAGCGCUCAAACGCGAGACAGGAGAAACUGGCACUCAGCGGUAGCGCUCAAGUGCGAGGCAGAAGAACUUGACACUCAGUGGUGACGCCUAAGCGCGAGACAAAAGAAAUUCGCGCUGAGUGACCUAAAAGCUCCCCUGAACCAUUCAUUUCUAGAGUACCUGAAUGUCAACCAGGUGUAGAUAAAUCUAUGAAAAUUCAAACUUCUUAUGAACAAGUCACACCUUAACCUCCCCUGGCACCUAACUCAACCCCAAAGCUCUCCCUAAAAAUAUCAUCAUUCUAUCCCCCAAAUUUCCAGCCUACACCACAUCAACCCUUCAACUAUUCACUUUUAAACAUU